rnacentral:lncRNA from 1 species
GCCCUGGCUCAGGAUCUCUCAAAAGGUUGUAGUGGAGAUGUUGGCUGAGCCUGCGGUCAUCUGAAGGCUUGACUGAGGCUGGAGGAUCCGCUUUCAAGAUGGCUCACGUUUAUUGCUAGCAAGUGGGUGGUGGCUGUUGGCACGAAGCCUCAAUUCCUGGCCACAUGAACCUUUCCACGCAGCUGCUAUGAGAGUCCUCACGACAGAGCAGCUGUUUGAUCCCUGAGCAACGGAUCCAGGAAAGAACAAGGCAGAAACUUCAACGUCUUUUAUGAUCCAACGUCAAAAGUGACACACCAUCAUUUCUACAAUAUCCUGUUAGUCAUGCAUGUCGGUCCUAUUCAUUGUAGGAGACUACACAAGGACAUGAAUACCAGAAGGCAAAGACCACUGGGGUCAUCUCGAUGUUGGGAUUGUGCAAAAAGAAGAUAUUUGUCUGGAGUUUAUACUUAAAAAUAACUGUUGUUAAGCCAAAGAAUGUGGGGGUACUUCUUCUACACAGAUCCUCCUUCUGAAGAUGUUGGUCUUCUUCCUUGCCUGCCACCCCCUCCCACACUUGAUUCAAAUGGAAGGUUGACUUUCUUGGAUGGCAAGUAUUUGUGACAGAAAAGAAAAAGCUAAAGACAGAUGGCAGAUAUGUAAUGCAAUGAGAAGACUUUGAUGAGACUCUUGGUCAAUCAAAUCAACUGUAAAUGGACUUCUUUGGAACAACUGGGGACAUUUAGAUACAGAAUUACAGAUCAAUCAUUUCCUGGAUUAAAAGGACUUCAUUUUAUAUGAAGAUAUAUGAAUAUAAAAUGACAAUAAAUGCCAUGUACAUGUAAACCAUACCAUUCUUCCAAUGGAUGAUUUGGUCCCAGAAUGUUGGCAAAGCUUUGAAUUUCAUCUUCCUCUCCUGAAGCAGAACCUUGGCAACCCCACUUCAGAAUAGAUGCUUUGUUCAUCCUCUCUAGUUUCCUCCCUUCUGUUUGGAAUAUGAAACAUUCUUUUUUGGUUUCUGACACUACAAAGGAGGAUAAGAUCCACAAGACAAGAAUAUAUAGAUCCCGUGAUUAAAUGCUGGAGUAGGCCUGUCCUUUAUGUACAAAACUUUGACCAGGCUGCAGUCACUGAAGGAUGCAUCACUGUAUAAAAUGCUUCUCAAAGUCCAGAAGAAUUUCAGCAGGACCAAGGAUGGCCUAUGAUCCCCAGCAGGUGUUUCAUUCUUUCGAAGGGC